ACUGCACUUGGCAUUGAGAACUG
rnacentral:piRNA from 1 species